AACCCCCCUGUCGUAUCCAAUAUUCAACCCGCAGUUCUCAAGCACACAGAAGCACGGGCUCUCCUCACCUCCCGAUCCCAGCCGCCAGGAGGCGACCGAUCCCGGCGACGCUCGAUCCGGUGCUACGAGCUAGGGUUUGAUCCGCCACCUCUCCGGCCUCCCCGUCGGUGGCGCACCGACGCUCCGGUCACCCCUCUUCUCCUCCCCUUCCCUCCUCUGCUCUUGCCCCCUUCUCCUCCACUCAUUUUUUUCGUCCGUCUCAAUUCGCUCGAUCCGCCCCUCCUGAGCGGCGGCUGCAGGCGACGUGGUGCCAUGCCACUCCUCUCUCCUCAAGGCGCCGCCAUCCCGAGACGCGCUGAUCUGGUGCCGCUGGAGGUGACCGCCGUUGUCGACCUGGCAGGCUCAACAGUCACCGCUGGAGCUCCACAUCCCCAAGACGAGGUGGAAGAAGCCCCAAUCACGGGCAAGUGCCGCCACCCCAACGGCACCGAUGGGGUCUGGGAGGUAGAUGUCAGGGACAGAGGGGAUGACGGACAAUCCACAUACGCCAGUCGAAGGCCUCGAGAAGGAUGGCUCAGUCGGACUCAAGAGCAGCUGGACUAGAGGACACCAUCGUCUUCACAUCGCAUAUGUCUAUUGAAUUUGAUGAGAGAAGGGCAUGGAGCCAAGAAGGUUGGAUCGUGCGGUUGUUAGAAUCCUCGCAGUGUGUUGAACCUCCCAAUGGAGCUUCUGUGUUCGGCAAUGGCCAUGUGACGGACAGAGCGAGAGGCACAUCAUCAUGGCCAGACGCAACAAGGGAUGGUACCUGAGGCACAACCGCUACGGUGCUGAGAAGGAGGGGGCUGUAGCACCCGACAAAUGCUGGACUCAGCUUUGAUGCUCAAUUAGGGCGGCCACACACAUGACUCUGCCCAAGGUUCAACUGCAGUUGGCUCGGAUAAAAAGGAUUGCAACAUUGGUAGUACUGUUGAUAGGAUGGUUAGUUUUGGAAGGGGAAUGGUAGUAUGCGCAGAGAUUGAAAACAAGGCUACAGUGCAAACACUCUUGCUCAACCAAUUUAAGCUCAGUGUCAGCUCUUUGUGCUCUUUCCUUCUUGCAGAACCAAUGUUUCCUCAUGAGUCACCUUUGUUCCCGGUAUUAUAGUCAUGAAGAAGCUUUCCUUCACAUUUUAAUUUGCCUAACCAGCCCCAGAAGCAUCCAAUCUCGCCUCUGACGCAUUGCCGGAACACCUUACGCCGUCCGCACGUGCUCCACACUUCGCCGGAACUUCUUCUGCAGGUUUUCCAUUUGAGGCUAUGCGAUGAAGCUGAUAGAAUUGCUAGAAAUCAGAAGAUGAACAAUGGAAUAGUUAGUGACCAGUGAACCUUGAGCCCAUGGAAUAGCCCUUUAUGACAAAUAGCAGAACUCUGUUCUGUCUAGAUCUUUUGGUUGCCCAUCGUAUCGGGCAUGUGCAUUGCACAACAGCAUGCAAGGCAGUUGGGAAUCAAGUGCAUCAUCACGGUGACACAACUGAUCUACAACAAGAGAACCCAUCCAAAGUAAAAGAAAAUACAUAGUAUCCAAUCCAUCAUAUCCUAAUUAAACCCCAAACAGAUGUUCUUGCCUUGAUCGAGGGUGUAAGCUACAGUAGUUUUCUUCUUCUGAUAAGGCACUUGAUAUAUGUCAUAGUAUCGGUAGUAUGGUUCACACACUGGUGUACAAAACAUGGAAACAACACUGUCAAACUUAACCAAAGGAAUAAAGGGCAUACUACAGUGUGAUGUGGUGUCGCAGGGCGCAUGCUGGACAUUUUGCUGAUGCCAUGCAUCAAUGAGAAACCUGCGCGUGCACCCCUCGCCUUCCUCUGUUCUAGGCCUCCCCGUCUUGCCUCACUCCUCUCCGGCAGUCAUUGAUUUCGACGGGAAAUAUGCAAGGAGGAUGGGGAAUAACUGCUUGUACGGGUUGUGGGCAUGCUCGGACCAGGAGGAGACAAAAGUUGUUGCGGCUGCCAUGCGCAAUGAAGGAUGGGUACGAUGGUCAGCGGGAUGGGAUGCAGCGGCUCGCAGGGGCAGCGCCUUCGGCGGCAGGCGCUGGGGCAAUGAAUUCUACUUAUGCGUUGGAGUCAGUUGCAUGCUAACUGGACAAUGCGUUAGCUUGUUCUGUACUUACUCUGUAGCUACCAGUGAUCAAAGUUGGAAGCUCAAUGUAAGCUAAACAGUUACCUUCUUUACUUGUGUUGGUUUUUCCAUGCGUGAUUCUUUGGGGCGUAGGAAUUUUACUAAAGCUAGCUCGAUUUCAACAAGAAUUUGAACAAUUCUCUGGUCUGGUCUGAAAGUUACCUAUUUGGGUAGCUAGGUUCAGUGAUUGAAAAUAUUGCAUGUUAUUAUUGGUGAAUAUAAGUUCAUGGACAAAUAAAAGUGGAAGAUCAUGGGGAAAUUUGCUAUCAAUUUUUAAUUUGUUACUCUGAUGUAUUCUAUUGUCGACAAAAUUAUAUAGUCAAACGAGGCAUGUAGCACAGGUAUUCAGUCUAGAAUGAUAUUUUGGUGAGGAUAAUCAUGAAUUCUCUUGGGUUCUGUCCUGAUAUUUGGCAGUUGUAGAAUAUCGUAUCCAUUAUUUGUUUGAAAUAUGAUAUCUCCAUUGUUACUGUAGAAUAUCAUGCGAUUAUUUAUUUGAAAUAUGACAUCUUCAUUGUUACUGUAGAAUAUCAUGUCCAUUAUUUAUUUGAAAUAUGACAUCUCCAUUGUUACUACUGGAGCUGAAAAAUAUAUUUCACAACUACCUAAAUAAAUCUAUUUUAUCAUCUAUUACUGACUUUUUGAUUCCCAGGUCCAAAGAAAUAAGUUCUACAAGUGCAACCUUAUGUCUGUAUCAGGUGUACUGCUCUAAAUUGCUUAAGCGAUCAGGUGUCCUGCUAUAUGGACCUCCAGGCACUGGGAAGACAUUACUUGUGAAAGCAGUAGCAACUGAGUGCUCAUUAAACUUUCUUAGCGUAAAAGGUCCAGAACUGACAAACAUGUAUGUUGGAGAGUCAGAGAGGAAUAUCAGGGACAUCUUUUAGAAGGCUAGAUCAGCACGCCCAUGAGUAAUUUUCUUCGAUGAGCUUGAUUCCCUUGCUCCUGCACGAGGGUCAUCUGCACAUUCUAGAGAUGUGAUGGAUAAAUGGUUUCUCAGCACAAAUGCCCGAUGGAGAUGCAUAUGUUUGGCAUUCUAUCAGUAAACAUACACGUGCGCUGGCUUGCAGUACUACAUUUUGUGAUUGUGUAGUAUCCACACCACUACUAAUGCUUAAGUCCGUUGCCUUGCCGUGUAAUUGUGUCAUAUGCACACCAAUACUAAUGCUCUAUGCUCUCGCUUGAGAGCACGUGCUGUGCUUUGUAUCAUCUAAAAAAUGUAAACUCUAUAAUUAGAAACAGACUUUAGCACUGUGAUCCAGUAUGUAUUGAGUAGUGGAUUAAUGUAUGUA